CGGGUAUUAGCUCAGUUUGGCCAGAGCGUUCCGUUUGGGGCGGAAAAGUCAAAGGUUCGAAUCCUUUAUACCCGA
rnacentral:tRNA from 2 species